UACGUAGGGUGCAGGCGUUAAUCGGAAUUACUGGGCGUAAAGCGUGCGCAGGCGGCUUCCUAAGUCAGAUGUGAAAUCCCCGGGCUCAACCCGGGAACUGCGUUUGAAACUACAAGGCUAGAGUGUGGCAGAGGGGGGUGGAAUUCCACGUGUAGCAGUGAAAUGCGUAGAGAUGUGGAGGAACACCGAUGGCGAAGGCAGCCCCCUGGGUUAACACUGACGCUCAGGCACGAAAGCGUGGGGAGCAAACAGG
rnacentral:rRNA from 1 species